rnacentral:rRNA from 1 species
UGGGAAGGCCCAGACAGCCAGGAUGUUGGCUUAGAAGCAGCCAUCAUUUAAAGAAAGCGUAAUAGCUCACUGGUCGAGUCGGCCUGCGCGGAAGAUGUAACGGGGCUAAACCAUGCACCGAAGCUGCGGCAGCGACACCGUGUGUUGUUGGGUAGGGGAGCGUUCUGUAAGCCUGUGAAGGUGUGCUGUGAGGCAUGCUGGAGGUAUCAGAAGUGCGAAUGCUGACAUAAGUAACGAUAAAGCGGGUGAAAAGCCCGCUCGCCGGAAGACCAAGGGUUCCUGUCCAACGUUAAUCGGGGCAGGGUGAGUCGACCCCUAAGGCGAGGCCGAAAGGCGUAGUCGAUGGGAAACGGGUUAAUAUUCCCGUACUUGGUGUUACUGCGAAGGGGGGACGGAGAAGGCUAUGUUGGCCGGGCGACGGUUGUCCCGGUUUA